rnacentral:rRNA from 1 species
AUUGAACGCUGGCGGCAUGCUUUACACAUGCAAGUCGAACGGCAGCGCGGGGGCAACCCUGGCGGCGAGUGGCGAACGGGUGAGUAAUGCAUCGGAACGUAUCCUGUAAUGGGGGGAUAACGUAGCGAAAGUUACGCUAAUACCGCAUACGCUCGAGAGAGGAAAGUGGGGGAUCGCAAGACCUCACGUUGUAGGAGCGGCCGAUGUCCGAUUAGCUAGUUGUGGGUAAGCCUACCAAGGCGACGAUCGGUAGCUGGUCUGAGAGGAUGAUCAGCCACACUGGGACUGAGACACGGCCCAGACUCCUACGGAGGCAGCAGUGGGGAAUUUUGGACAAUGGGCGAAAGCCUGAUCCAGCCAUGCCGCGUGCGGGA